GAGUUUGAUCGUGGCUCAGAUUGAACGCUGGCGGCAUGCCUUACACAUGCAAGUCGAACGGCAGCAUGAUCUAGCUUGCUAGAUUGAUGGCGAGUGGCGAACGGGUGAGUAAUACAUCGGAACGUGCCCUGUAGUGGGGGAUAACUGGUCGAAAGAUUAGCUAAUACCGCAUACGACCUGAGGGUGAAAGUGGGGGACCGCAAGGCCUCAUGCUAUAGGAGCGGCCGAUGUCUGAUUAGCUAGUUGGUGGGGUAAAGGCCCACCAAGGCGACGAUCAGUAGCUGGUCUGAGAGGACGAUCAGCCACACUGGGACUGAGACACGGCCCAGACUCCUACGGGAGGCAGCAGUGGGGAAUUUUGGACAAUGGGCGAAAGCCUGAUCCAGCAAUGCCGCGUGUGUGAAGAAGGCCUCGG
rnacentral:rRNA from 1 species